rnacentral:misc_RNA from 1 species
UGUGGGAGCGAGCCUGCUCGCGAAGGCAUCUACCUGAUCUGACUGAUGUACCGCAGCGCCUGCAUCGCGAGCAGGCUCGCUCCCACA